UACCAGAAAGGGUUACUGCUGGGUUUCGCCGCUCUUGCAUGGGCACAAGCGCCAAAUUGCACCGUGCACCUGCGCAGAUACAGCGCUUCAGGUUGCGGGCUUUUCAUGUUGCGAACGGGCCUCUGGAAUGGAUCCCAUUCGCAACCAAAGGAGACCUCUGAAUUCCACCCUCUUCCAGACUGCAAUCCCAGAUGCGCUACAAGACCCCCAGCGGGUAUCUCUGCUUCUGAAAUAUGGCACUCGGGAGACUCCGUAGCCCACAGUUCCUUCUCCUCAGCUUCACUCCAGUCAUGCUAUAACCUGAGCUUGGACCAAGGCCUCUUCCUCUCUCUUUCGGCAGAGGCCUUGGGACUGGUGGUACGGUGUCAUGCCGCUCCUCAGAAGCAAGUGUCUCCUCAGGGGAUUCUGUUGUGCAGUGACCUGGAUCUCCUCUGACUCGCCUGAAGAGCAGAAUGCCAGGCUGGACUGUGAAGCU